CGCCAAAAAUAAUACAAGAAGAAGAAGAAGAUUUCAGACACAUCAGCUCUGUGUCGUGGAAAGAAGAGUUGUUAGUGAAUAUGAGCGACUCACUAAUAAUGCUUUUAGUUAUCCAGUUGAACCUGUGUGAUAAUGUGAUGCCUUCCAGAGAUGACCCGCCAUGAUGAGGUUUCUAACUGGAGAUGUUGCAGUGAUCGUGUUAAUUUCAGCGCUAAGGCAGUGAAGUUUUGGAAGGGUGAUGUGUAAAGACAGGCGUUCUCGAUGGAAGAUCAAUAAUAUGUCUUGUUGCAGGAUUGUGAAGAUGAUUCACCGAGGAAGAGGAGGCAAAGCAGAAAGGUGCAGGUGUACCAGUGGCAAGAACCAAACUUGAAGAUGACACGUGGUUCCUGCAGACACUAAUGGAUGGACCCAAGACCAGUUUGGAUGAAUUGGUCGGUGUGAUGCUUAAUAAAAUCAGAAGCAGAAUGUUGGAAUAAAUGAAAACAAAUUUAUUUAACCAAUGUAUAAGGUAAAGCCAGAGAUGCUGACGGUCCAGCUGCUUUUACUCAGACUGGGUUGAACUUGUAGGAUUUCUUCUUUAAAUUUUCUAGAUAUAUCUUCUCCUCGAGGAGAUUUUCACGAUCCUGUGGAAGAGAUAAUGUGAAGCCUCAGUUAUGAAGUAUAAAGAAGAUUUUAAUUUUAUGGAAGAAAAUUAGUAGUUUUGUAAUUGUUUUUGUGGACCCAAUUAUGUGAAAAUGUAUAAAAUAAAAUGUUUUUUUUUUCUAUUAAACAAAUGUCAGCCAUGAAUUUAUACCCACAAUUAAAGAAAUGUAACUGAAA